CUUGUGCUUCCCUGGUGGCCUGGAUCCUGGGUUCUCUUGCUUUCCUUCAAUAAUCAAGUAUUUUGUUUCUUUUCUCAUGACUGGCUGGACCUCUGUUAGAAAAACGGCGCGUGCUCAGAGUGAGGUAUCCUCUACAGGUCUGCUCCAAGGAUGACUGAGCUAGAUAUCAAUGUCAACAUCCAAAAGAGUUCACUGGUACAGAAAAGUACAAUUGAGCGAUGGUGAUAUCACUAAAAUUUUAUGGAGACAUUAGAGACCUCCUUGCGGCAGGACUUUAAGGACACUCCACAGCCAUGGUGCCUACGUUGCAGCUGCCUUCUCCACAAGCCUAGGUGUGGUCUGGUUGGCAGAGUAAUAAAACAAUGCCUCUGAGCAUCGAGGAAUUCCCCGAGAGGUGUUCCCUGGAGUCAACCUCAAGGUCUUCCCUCCAACUCGACAGCUAAGCAUCAGCUGUACCCCAGGAACCAAGAAGCCAUGUGAGGAAGUAAGGACUUUGUGGAAGCAAGGCUCUCUGUGAUGUCCUCCACUGCCCUGAAAUGCAAUGGAAUGAUAUAAAGAGAUGGCAGUUGUGAGAUCUUAUGUCGCUGAGAGGAGAACCAAGUGCUUGUUUUCGGGUCAGUUACCUCCAGAGUAAACAACUGUAAACCCAAAGAAGCCUAAAAGCAAAACAACAUACAGUGAUUGACUGGCUAUCAUCUCUGAUCUCUGACUCAUGCUCUACUCUCUUAACAGCACAGGCAUUGAUAGGUAGUAUGAUAUUAGAACCACAGGCAAAGUAUGGAUUACAGAAAAAAGGCAUGGAAACACAGGGAUGUGGUCAGGCUCCAAGGGAAAGCAUGUCCAUCAGCAUAAGGAAUCAUCCAGCCUUCAGCAGCAGCAGCUACAAUAUUUGGGAAGAAAUUAACCAUCCUGAUUCUUGGAUGUGGACCACCCAACAGCUGUUUCUUCUCAUUGAAUAAAUAGAAAAACUGAAGUCAAGAAACCAAGUUAUGACGUGCUCCACUAUGUUCAUCGCAGCCUUAUUUAUAAUAGCCAGAAAAUGGAAAGAACCGAGAUGCCCUUCAACAGAGGAAUGGAUACAGAAAAUGUGGUACAUCUACACAAUGGAAUAUUACUCAGCUAUCAAAAACAACGAGUCUAUGAAAUUCGUAGGCAAAUGGUUGGAACUGGAAAAUAUCAUCCUGAGUGAGCUAACCCAAUCACAGAAAGACAUACAUGGUAUGCACUCAUUGAUAAGUGGCUAUUAGCCCAAAUGCUUGAAUUACCCUAGAUCCCUAGAACAAACGAAACUCAAGACGGAUGAUCAAAAUGUGAAUGCUUCACUCCUUCUUUAAAUGAGGAAAGAGAAUACCCGUGGCUGGGAAGGGAGAGGCAAAGAUUAAAACAGAGACUGAAGGAACACCCAUUCAGAGCCUGCCCCACAGGUGGCCCAUACAUAUACAGCCACCCAAUUGGACAAGAUGGAUGAAGCAAAGAAGUGCAGACCGACAGGAGCCGGAUGUAGAUCGCUCCUGAGAGACACAGCCAGAAUACAGCAAAUACAGAGGCGAAUGCCAGCAGCAAACCACUGAACUGAGAAUAGGUCCCCCGUUGAAGGAAUCAGAGAAAGAACUGGAAGAGCUUGAAGGGGCUCGAGACCCCAAAAGUACAACAAUGUCAAGCAACCAGAGCUUCCAGGGACUAAGCCACUACCUAAAGACUAUAUAUGGACUGACCCUGGACUCUGACCCCAUAGGUAGCAAUGAAUAUCCUAGUAAGAGCACCAGUGGAAGGGGAAGCCCUGGGUCCUGCUAAGACUGAACCCCCAGUGAA